CAGCAGCCGCCGCGGGAAUACAGAGGGUGCGAGCGUUAAUCGGAUUUACUGGGCGUAAAGCGUGCGUAGGCGGCUUCUUAAGUCGGAUGUGAAAUCCCUGAGCUUAACUUAGGAAUUGCAUUCGAUACUGGGAAGCUAGAGUAUGGGAGAGGAUGGUAGAAUUCCAGGUGUAGCGGUGAAAUGCGUAGAGAUCUGGAGGAAUACCGAUGGCGAAGGCAGCCAUCUGGCCUAAUACUGACGCUGAGGUACGAAAGCAUGGGGAGCAAACAGGAUUAGAUACCCGAGUAGUCCCUGUCUCUUAUAC
rnacentral:rRNA from 1 species